GCCAAGCUGGCCAAGCACUGCCCGCUCUCAGGGUUUGAGUGUCUCUCUGUCUAUCGCGCGUGCCAGCAUCCACGCCAACCCCCACCCCUCCCACCACUCCUUUCAUUCGCUUCGUCGGCACCCCACCGUCUUACGACCGGUGUGCACCGAAGUGGGAGGCGGACGUGCAGUGCAUACUAUCAACCUCACCAGAGGGUACGGCACCAGGAAAACGAGACACGGGGGAAGACACGCGAUGUCCGUGAGCUCGGACUCGUGCCACACGAGCGAGAACAGCGACAGUGCUGACGCGCUCAACUCCAACCGACCGCAGCGACUCUCGUUGAUAAGGAAGCAGAGGUCCCUCACCAGCCCGUCGCCCCGCUCUCACACGCCUGCGCCGUUGUCGCAUCUCACCUCGUUGACCACGGUAGCAUCACAGCCUCCGAGUAAAAAGGAUCGUGACCGCCGCAAUGACUACACCAAACUGAGCAGCGAACCCAGAAAGAGGAGCAACACCGCAGCGUCCUCCAUGAGGAGGGAGACUCUCGAAAGAGCAUACGCUCGCCAUGCAUCCUCGGUCGGCACAACGGCCGCAGCUUCUUCUCUUCAGGCUUCGAGAGCAACGGACGUAGAGCCGUAUGCGCGCACCAGUCCGACAACUUCGUCUCUCAACUCGGCAAGUUUUUCACUGACGCGCAUGCGACCGAGCUCUGCUGCAUCGCCAGCGACGGCGGUGCGCGGCGCCACACCGCAUGCUCAGAUCCGCAGCACCUCCAGGCCGGCAUCGAGGUCUGUACCAGGAUAUCUCCACUCAACCUUCAGUAGCCGGGCCCACUUACCAGUUCCACCCCCGGAGCUGCCCACCGCUGACGCCGCGCUGGCGCCCUUGCCGGUAUCCGUGACGGGCACCACAUCUUCUAAUCACAGCAUCGACACCGGUUCAGCACCUCCGCCAACCACGAGCCCGCUGCCCAGCAGUAUUGAGAGCGAGAGGAAAAUGUGCAGCACGGGCAACAACGGUGUGAUUCGACCCGGCCGCACUCGGGUGUCCGACCUUGAUUCACCAACAGGGACGCCAGCGUCGCCCGCCGUGAUCCACGGCAGCCGUAGCAGGGGGUACGGCGGAGCCUCCGGGGCACGUGCGGAGGUGGCUAUCUCACCCCCUUUUCUGCUUGAUGGCAUUGCGGCGCCGAUCCUGACGCAUCGUAACCCUAUUACAGACCCUGCUCCGCACAUCCACGGCGGAAAGCGCCGGAACCGUGCCACGCUAGAAUCUAGCUUCGCCAGCGUUUUGGAGGGGACGGGCGGUGAGCCGGCGCCGGCGCCACCGCCGCCAGCCCUCAUCCACAGCUCCUCACAGUCAGUGGAAGAGCAACUGGGCAUCACUGCGAAUGCCGCUGAAGAUCCCCGUAGCUCGUCGACCCUGAACCACGCGUCCUCGCAGCCGCCUUGCACGCCGAAGCAGCAGCUGCAGAAGCAGCCGAUGCAUGCACACAAUCCCUCGCAGUCUAUGGUGGCCCUUUUGUCAGUACCGCAGACGCCACGGCGACCAGUCAUCGUCUCCGAAGUGAAGGGUCGCCGCUUGCCCGCUCCGAACACCUCUCAGUUGAAUGAGAAAUCACAGAUAGCGCGCACCGGCGAGGAGGCAGUUUGCACCGCUCUCCCCUCCUCACUGCCGGCGGCGUCUUACGGCGCCCCAAUACACAAGGCUCGGCCAGUCCCGGCCUUCCCGCCUCCGCCGCCAGAGUAUGCACCGGUAAGUGCGCAUUCUGCGCAGACACUUCCGCACUCCUGCCCCUCUUCUGCUGGGGAGGAUGGCCCGCCGUCGUCCACGGCACCACUUGAUGCAGCAGCGGGCGAUAGCACAGAGCCGCAGCCCAGUAAGGGGCCGCAGAGUCGCAGCGCUUCCUCUUGCACACCGGAAAGGGGUUCAUCGUUGGAGCAUCGCUCUUCAGCAUUGCCGAGGUCUCCUUCUGCCGACGCGGCUGUAUACUCUCCCGUUUCUGUGCAAGAGCAGCCGCUGUCCAAGGAAAGCAUUCGAAGCGCUUCCUUGGAAACAACGGCUUCGGCGCAUCUGUCCCCACGCAGCCCCAGCGCGCCGAGGUCGCCGCCUACGUCUGCGGCCACACCACCGUCUUCGGUCGGCCCUGCAGCCCAGCUAUCGCCUUCCAUGGACAGCGUGCACAAUGACGUGGAAGAAGAGACCCCCGUCGCUAGAACCACGCCGCCACAGCCGGCACCGAUGCGAUUGCCAGAGCUGCACGUUGUCGCGGGCUCGGUGGUAUCGGCUGCUUCUGAGAGGUCGCUAUCAUCGCACCGCAGCGGCUCGCGUUCCACACCGCUGGAGAACUUCGCGGCGCUUCUCGAGGACUUGCAUGUGCUGUGGAAGGAGGAGGAGCCACUCACGUGUGAGGUGUCGCCUGUCAGUCACGCGUCCAAUGGGGCUUUUGAUGGAUGUACGUCGAGAAGCACCGCGAGGGUCAUGGCGGAGCCAAAAGAUGACGAGUCGGGCUCCGUGAUGUACCCGGCGGAUACAAGCGACCCCAAUCGGGAGGGGCCGGAGGAGGCAGAACAGGUCCCGGAGAGCUUCUUGGAUGGACCUCUUCGCGGAACCGACACCACCGGCCAUGCGCCCAUCACGCCGCGUCUUCGCCGCCGCAUUGAGAAGGAUCAGCGACGGGAACUGGAGAUGCUGCGUGCUGCCACGAAAGAGCGCCAUCCGGAGAUCUUGGGAUCGCUCGACUCGCCAGAAACGCUGAUGCGGGAGUUGGAGCGGAUGGAGGCGGACAGGGACGGACAAGAGGACGGUGGCAGAAGCACCACGCUCAACGUGACGGAUGAAGUGGAGACGCCGCCAGCUGCACGAUCAUCUCAGAAGCGGCCACCGACUGUGCCCGCGUCGUCGCGAACUUCACCAACACCGUUGGUUGCACAAGGCAGCCGCGCCAAACCCGAGGGAAGAUUGCCAGUGCGAGAUGCAGGAAGAGCCGCUGCCCCAACCACGGAGAAGAGCUCCAACACCGAGUCGUCUGCACGGAAGGGCAGGCCGAGUGUGUCUGCUGCGUCUACUCCCGGGGCGAGGGUGCGAGAGAGAAGCCAGGCAGUGCUGCGGAGCUCCCGGCGGACGAAUGCUCCGGAGAAUGGCUCCACGGGCAACGGUGACGGCGUGUGCAUCUCGACGCCUCGUGGACGAGCUGCCGGCGAGGCCGGCUCCGGGGCCAGGGGCGCGGGGAUGCCCCCUUGCGGUGCAGUGUGUGGCGCUGCACCACCCUUGUCAACCACGGCGCUGAAUAGUCAACUUACUGCGUCCGCGCCCGGCACUCCCGGUUCCGUUCGGGACCCUCGGCGGCGAUCACCCGCCCCUACCAUGACGGCCAGCGGUGGAUCAGAGCAGCUGUCACGCAUGGCUGCUCGGCGAGGGGAUGGCCCCAGCGGAUUAUCAAGUGGCGCCGGCACCUCCCCGCCCCAGAAGGCAGCCGCGACGGCCUCGGACGAUCUUCUGCCGGAGCUCUUCUCGGCGCAGGAGGCGGCGAACACCAUCACCAUUGUGUUUGACCUGGAUGAAACGCUCUGCAACAACCGGUGCUUCACCGGACCUAUACUUCGACCCGGCGCCGCGCUGCUUCUCCACACGCUGCGCGGCCUCUGCCCCUCACCUCGAUACAAACUUAUCGACACCCACACCCGCAGCCAGCAUGCCUCGAAUCGGCUGUAUGACGAGGCAAUGCACCGUAUGGGAGUGACGCCGCUGUACCGCUCACGGGUUGCGCAGAGACAGUCGGCGGAUGGCUACCGCCGCACUAACAGCACCGCUCCCGCUGGCACUAUUGCGGCGUCGGGUGUCGACGCGUCCGGGGUUUCAGGUAAGACCUGUUCUGCUGGCUUGUGCAGCACCGGUGAGGCGCGUCCUGCCACGGCGAAGGAUACAAAUCCUCUUCGACUGGAGCUGGUGCUGUGGACGGCGAGCGAAGAGAGCCUGGCCCGGCGCGCCAUGUGCCACAUUGACCCGGCGAACAAGAUCUUCGACGAAGCCAUUUAUCGCGACACGCGGUGGUAUCGUGACUCGCACUACACGAAGGAGCUGUGCCGACUUGGCCGGUGCAUGAAUCGCGUGGUCAUCGUCGAGAACUCGAUCGAAUCUGUCAUUCGCAAUCGCCAGAACUCCAUCCUGGUUACCAGCUUUGUACGCAACCGCCUCGACCGGCAACUCUUCCUCGUGCGCGAAGUCCUACGAGACUGGGUUUGUGGCAUGAAGGCGAAGCUGGCGGAGCAGCAGUACGCAUCCCGCGCUGCCAGUUCGCUGCGGGAGAGCGUUGAACGUACGGCGGAUAGCGAUGCCACGUUGCACGCAUUCAGAGAAGAUUCGGUCGGUUCCCGGGCCGGGGAGUCUGCCGAGGAGGGGGGCGAGAGUCCGGUGCCGCCACACUCGACGCGGCCGCCCGCACGCGUUGGCCGAAGUGAAAGCGGGCCAGCGGUGAUGAAUCAUGCGGGCACACACCUUGGCGACAGGGACCCCAUCAACGAUAAUUCUGACGGUAACGGCUCGCAACGUGGCGCAGCUCCUGAACUGGCCCUGUCAGCGCCGUGCCGGGCCCCCGCUCAUGCUGUGUCGGUGCCCAGCUCGCCGCCGCGUUCCGCCCCUCGCCCCCUCAGUGCUAUGGCGCGUCGCGCGCCAAACAUUGUGGAGUUUCUGCAGCACCAUCGGCUCAUCUUUCCAGACUCGAACUUCCUUCGCUUCCAGCUUACGGGCGACGUCAUGAAGCACCUGCAGACCAAGGAGGCCGCCCUCAUCGCCGCUGCCCUCCACCCGCCGCAGACGGCAGCUGAACAAGCGGACACGCGGGCGGCGCGUUCCAUCGGCUGCGGACCUGCUUCUCGCACAACCCGAUCCGUGCGCGCACCACCGAACGUGCCGCCCUCCUCCACGCCUCCAGUAACUACUACCGCGCCUACCACGGCAAACCCGGCAGGACCUGCACCAAGAACGCCGCAAUCCCGCGCUGCUGGCCGUGCAUCUCCUAGCGGGGGUGGGGCUGCAGAGGACGGCGCCUCCGCAGCUGCGACGCGGCUGCGUAUUCCAGGGAAGGAGGUGGGCGCGGCGAGAACGCCUGCAGCGGCGGCGACUCCGACGUCUCCGUUGGGAGGACCCGUGGUGGGCGCCAGUGGGAACAGCCGCCCCGGCCACUCAUCCUCCAACGGUGUGGCUCGUGCGGCAAUUGCAAACCGCGACCCGGCGGUGCGACCGCAGCGCACAGUGUCUGCGCCUCCCAAGCGUUCAGUGACGAACGAGACGUAGGGCUCGCGCGGCAGUGUGAGGGAGAAAAAAAGGAAGUUGAGCUGAAUGACGCGUCGAGGGCCAACCCAUUCUAUCAAGGGCAAGGGAGAACGGCCACGGGGGGGGUGAAGGUCUGAGCACGUUCCGCGUGCGCGGACACGUGUGUGCGUGUGGCUAGAGCUCCUUUAUCUCCUCAUUUUCCUCUCCCCUCUCGUGGCUGAGGCAGCAUGUCGUAUCCAUGAGAGCUCGUGCAAUGUGAAGCUCAGUGUCAUCGGAUCGACUUCUGGCGGUGCGCAGGGUGCAGGAGGCGCAUUUAGGGGCGCAUCUGCUUCCCUGAAACAAACUUGUCGACCACGGAACCGCCAGCGCGUCACGCCACCCUUCCCCCUUCCCCCCCCCAAACAGGGGUCGGAGCACCUUAACGACGGUUUGUGUGUGCGUUUGUGUGUGGGCACACCUCUCGGCUCAUGGUGGCUCAGAGUCCAGUGCCCCUUCCCCCCACUCUCUUCAGAAGCCAGGCAACCCUCCUCCCUCAUCUCUAUCCCUGCCUAUGCCAGAGCCACCUCUGGCGCUGGCAGGGCGGUGCAUCGCUGCUGACAGCGGACCGCCAGGUCCUGGGCGGCGUGGCGUCCGGGUGAUCUGCAGCCGCGAACGCGCGUGUGCACUCUCCACAUGAUGGGCAGAGUGUCCGCGUGACUCGAACGCAUCCCACCCCCGGCCCUCGCACGGCCCACUGGUGUGGGGAGAUCUGAGCCGUCCCGAGGAGAGGGGGGUGGGAUGCACCAGGGGUGGCAGCCGGCAUAGCGGGGGAGCGGCUGUGAGGCGACCUGCACGGUGAAGGCUGGCCAGAGUUUGAGGCAGAGACGGUGCUGAGAUGACGGGGCCGGCGCAUUGCUGUAAUGCGUGUGCCUAGCGUUGCUUCGCACCCCGCUGGUGGGGCCUGUGACAGACCCUGCGUAGAGCACAGUUGAGCUCGUGCUGUACGGGACAUAGAAUGGACACGCAUUGGACCGAAAAGAAAAGGCGGAAUGGGUAACAAGUGGGUGGGGGAGCUCGCCCUCCACUUCUUCUGUAGCUGGAUCGACAACCGGGUCUACCGUUGCUACUGCUGUUCUCUGCGCCGUUAUGGCUUGGUUCUCGCGCGUACAGCCGUUGGCCUCGUGCAAUCCGUGUGUGCUUCUUGUCGUUG
rnacentral:misc_RNA from 1 species